CGUUUGAUGAAUUCAUAGUCAAACGAGGCGAACCGGGGGAACUGAAACAUCUCAGUACCCCGAGGAAAAGAAAUCAACCGAGAUUCCCCCAGUAGCGGCGAGCGAACGGGGAGCAGCCCAGAGUCAACAUCAAUAUUUACCGCAGGAGAAGGGUCUGGAAAGGCCAGCAAUAAAGGGUGAUAGCCCCGUAUCUGAAACGGUAAGUAUUGUGAACUCGAAGAGUAGGGCGGGACACGUGUUAUCCUGUCUGAAUAUGGGGGGACCAUCCUCCAAGGCUAAAUACUCCUGACUGACCGAUAGUGAACCAGUACCGUGAGGGAAAGGCGAAAAGAACCCCGGCGAGGGGAGUGAAAUAGAACCUGAAACCGUGUACGUACAAGCAGUGGGAGCACCCGAAAGGGUGUGACUGCGUACCUUUUGUAUAAUGGGUCAGCGACUUAUAUUCUGUAGCAAGGUUAACCGCAUAGGGGAGCCGUAGGGAAACCGAGUCUUAACUGGGCGUUAAGUUGCAGGGUAUAGACCCGAAACCCGGUGAUCUAGCCAUGGGCAGGUUGAAGGUUGGGUAACACUAACUGGAGGACC
rnacentral:rRNA from 1 species